AUUGAACGCUGGCGGCAUGCCUAACACAUGCAAGUCGAGCGGAGCUGCGGACGGGUGUGUAAUGCCUAGGAAUCUGCCUGGUAGUGGGGGAUAACGUCCGGAGACGGGCGCUAAUACCGCAUACUAUCAGAGCAGCCUAGGUUGGAUUAGCUAGGUGGUGGGGUAAAGGCCUACCAAGGCGACGAUCCGUAACCGGGCUGAGAGGAUGAUCAGUCACACUGGAACUGAGAAACGGCCCAGACUCCUACGGGAGGCAGCAGUGGGGAAUAUUGCACAAUGGGCGAAAGCCUGAUGAAGCCAUGCCGCGUGUAUGAAGAAGGCCUUCGGGUUGUAAAGUACUUUCAGCGGGGAGGCGUUACCAACAGAGAAAGCACCGGCUAACUUCGUGCCAGCAGCCGCGGUAAUUC
rnacentral:rRNA from 1 species